UUAAAUAGCUGCAGUAUACCUGACUGUACAAAGGUAGCAUAAUCAAUUGGUUUUUAAAUGAAAUCUGGAAUGAAAGGAUUAAUGAAAUAUAUACUGACUCAUAUUUAUUUUAUGAAUUUAAAUUUUUAAUAAAAAUGUUAAAAUUUAUUUAUGGGACGAUAAGACCCUAUAGAAUUUUAUAUUAUAUUAUUUUUAUUUUUAAAAUAAAAUUUAAUUUAAUAUUUGAUUGGGAGAAUUAUUAAAUUUAAUAAAUUUUAAUUAAUAAGAACUUUGAUUAAAGAAAAAAAAAUGAUCUUUAAUUUAAAAUUUUAAGAAUAAAUUACCUUAGGGAUAACAGCGUUAUAUUUUUUUAUAGAUCAUAUAGAAAAAAAUGAUUGCGACCUCGAUGUUGAAUUAAGAUAAAUUUUAAACGAAGAAG
rnacentral:rRNA from 1 species